GCUGAGUUUUCAUUUAAAUUCAAUAUUUACUAACCUUUCUCUUUAGGGGAAUUGGCUACUACCAAUGUAUAUACCGACUGUCUUCUUUUUACCUAAUCUGAAUACAAGCCUUAUUCCUUGCUUGACCAUUGAUAACUUGAGUUGUACAUAUGUAUAAAGUAUAUCUUCAAUCAGAGUACCUGCAUUUAUACUUAUAUAUGUCCAGCUUAAACCUUUCAUUGGACAAACAACCGGUUAACCAUGUGUUCACAAUAGGUCAAAAGAAGAAAGUGAUUGUGUAUAAAUAGGUAGCACCAAUUCCUCUGAAGAGAAAAGAUGGAAGUGAUGAUUGAACUAAAAUACAUCAACAAACUGUCUCUGUAUUGCAAAGAGAUACCAAACUAGAUAUAUCUGAUCCAUCUUUUUACACAUCAUUUCACUUUUCAACAUGUUUGAUUUAAUUCUGCCAUUUGCACCAAAAUACCUAAACAAUGAGACCAAAUUUUCAAGUCAAAAAAAUUGUAUGUGUCAUAUUUUUCCUUUUCUAUUCCUUCACUUUUAUACAGACUUUCAUUUGAAUACCAUCAUUUUCACAAGCCCUUAUACACAUUUGAUUCAAACUUCAUCAUUCUUUACAUAUCUGUCUAUAUUAUACUCACAUUUUUGUAAUCCCGCAGCAACGCGCGGGCCCUACUUCUAGUCACAUGCUAAAUAUCACAUUACUAGGUGUGUUUCCUGAUCUGAGUUGUAUAUAGGGUUGUGAUUUUCACAUACCCUUAACUACUUUUCCCACAUCCCAUCCUAUUUUUUAACCUACUAUUUAAUUUUUCAUAUAUACCCUUCCUACUUUUUGAUGGUAAUUAAUUGAAAGAUUAAAUAGGGAGGGGCAUAUAUGGAAGAUUAAAUAGUAGGAUACCAAUUAAGUAUUAAAAAAUAUGGAAGGGUGUGAGAAAAGUAGUUAAGGGUAUGUGAAAAUCACAACCUUGUAUAUUGAUAUUUUGGUGGAUUUCACGUUAUUUACAAAAUUGCCACCACCUCUUCGUUCUUCGUUCGGUGUGGGUUUCGGGGAUGGGAGGCCAUGCCGCAUCACAGAGAGAGAGAGAUGAGUGGGGAUUUCAGCGCCAUUGCUGCAGAUCCUCGAUUUCAUGAGUAGGAGAGGGGGUACAGUCAGAGAAAAGCAUGGGGACCGUCGGGAUUUGAGGAAGAGGGGUAUUUGGCUUAUUUUCGUCAGAUUUCUCAAACGCUUUUGCUAAUGUGUUCGGUUCUUUGAUUUCUUUUGUCUGCCUCCUUCUAUGUUGCUUUGUCAGUUUCAUUUUCCAGUGCUGGCUCAUGGAAAUUUGUAAAAAUGGCUGUAGUUUUCUGAGAAGAGAGAGAGAAAGAGUUCGUUCGACGCUUAAACCAGAGCCAGGUAUAUCUCUCCUCUUGCUUUCUCUCUACGAAGUUCUAUCCCAAUCAGAGAGUAUUUUGUUCGAAUAUCUGUCCAAACAAAAAAUUUCUUUGGAAUGAAAUAAAUGAAACAACUUUUGAGAGAUGUUUAUUGGUUCUGAAAGUAUAAGACCAAAAGUUACAUUUUCAUUCUCAUUUACAGAAAUACAACUUGCAGAAUUAGUUAAAUGUAUCAAAUGACUAGCAUGUGAAUUUGUGUAUGGUUAAAAAUAAUCUUAUCCUUAAGGAUUAUUGAUUGGGCAAAUUUGGUUGAGUAAAUUUAGGGUUAUUGAUUGGGCUAAUUUGGUUGAUUCGUUGAUCUGAUUUGGAUGCGUUUGAGGGUUAGUUUCUAGGAAUGUUCCAUUGGUGUUCUUUUUCUUCUACACAGUUACCAAAAUCUCAAGUCCCCAUUUGAUCCUCGAGUACGACCCAAUCAUAUUUGCAGUAAUACAAUCAUAUUCUUGAGGUUUGGAUUUUUCUCUCAUGUUUCUGCCCAUUAUAUGUUUUUGCCCAAUCAUAUUUGCUCAUUAUACGUUUUUGCCCAAUCAUAUUUGCUCAUGUUUUCGCUGUUAGAAAAUACACGCAUGUUCUCUAAACUAAAAUACACUUCUUAGACUUCUGUUUCUUAUGGAAACAGGCAUCCUGCAUGUUUUUUGUUUUGCAUGUUUGUGCUUGAAAACUUAGAUGCUAGAAUAAGAACGAAACAGUUUCUAUAUUUUUUUGUCCACUGCUAAAACAUUUGCCUAACCUACAGGAUAUAUAUUUUGCCACCUUGACUGCAGGGGCUAGAUUUGUGUGAAGAUCAUGUUGCUUCUCUUUCUUCUGUUUAUUAGGGAAAUAGAACGUUCAGUUUCAUCGUGUUAAUUGUACAAUGUCUUUUCAUGUCAGCUAAGUUGAAUGUAUAUAAAAACGAAGCUGCAUAUCUUACUGACCUCAUUCACUCAUCUAUCCCUCUGUUCAUUCAUGAUUGUGUUGAAUUUAUUCAAGUAAAAUGUGUUUUAUUUAUGCAGUUCAAGAUGAUGCAUUCAAGUCCCGCAACAACGCGCGAGCAUAUUUUCUAGUUAAUUACUAUUGGUUUUCCCUCAAUAUAGACAACAUUAAAUUGGUCAAAUUUAUUUAGUAAAAUUUUUAUGAUUGUAGAAUUUCUUGUUUAAACUUCUGGUUUUAGAGAAUUCUUCAUUAAAUUUCUGGGUGAUUUUGAGGUUAUUUUAUCUGUGAGAUUUAGUAAUUUUUUCUAGAUUUUGUAGAAUUGUUCGAUUAAAUUUGUGGGUUUGGUUGUUAUUUUUUAUUUUGUGCAUUUUAUAGUGAACUUGGUUGUGGGUUUUGAUGUUUAUCUAUGGUAAGGUAAGGGACGCCAACUCAUGAACCAAGUGGUCUUUCAGCACCUGUAGGAGAUGAGCGAAGUGAUCUGAUGCUUUCAAGUAUUGGUACGACCAAGUUGCAACUCUCACAAAACAAACCGUUCACAAGGCGAAAGCGAACCACCCGAAAGCCGGUACCAGGAUCUACAAUAACAUAAUGAAGGCAAGAGUUCCGGACAAGAGGGAAACAUUGCCCAGAAGACCUUAAAUUUCCUUGUACUACAAGCAAACAGAUAGAAUAAUUUCCUUUUAAUUUUUACGAUUGUUGUAUGUAGAUGACCAAAGCGAAAUAUGUUUGAGCUCUUUACAAAUUCGGAUUGCUGAUUUAUUUUUAUUUAUUUUUUCAAUUUGAAUGCAGCUUUGUCCAA